GCCGGGGCAAAGGCAGGCGCGUCCCAGCCCUCCACGCCCGGUGCGCCCGAGGACCCUUAGCUCCUGCGCGCCGCACGCUCUUCCCUGACGCUGGCUUCUCCGGGGAGGAUUUGCGCGCACGGCCCUGUGCUAUACCCGACCGCGGACUCGACCGACAGACAUGAGUAUGACAUCCAAACCACACGGAAGCAUGCUCACCAAGUGACAAGCAUCAUCAUGCUGUCCGGCCACAUCCUGGAGAUCCCACAGGUAGCAUAUUGAUCACUACUCCUUCCAGAUAACCUGUACAACAGAGGCGGACUUUUAUUCAUGCGGGGUCAUGCUAUAUACCACGUUACACUUCCUACACUGAAACAGAUCCCCACGAAACAACACAUCUCAGACAUCUCUCUCUAUUAAGACCCGCAGAUCUGUUUGAUUAUUUUUAAUGGCUCCACUGCAUGGACAUUUAUGUACUGUGCAUUUAAUUAGAUUUUUAAGGGAAGCAAUGCAUGCACAGGAUUAAAAAAAAUCAAACAAUACAAAAUGGUGAAUAAUGAAAAAAUACAAGUCUCUAUCUUCCUUCCCCAUUCUUCCCCAGAGGAACCACUUUAAUCAUUUAUUUUUGGUGUUAAUUAAUAGACUUAAUUCUUGUAACAGUUUUAGACCUAUAGAAAAGUUCAGCAGAUGGCACAGAGUUCCUGUAUACCUCCCUCUGCCCCCCAUAUUUUCCCCAUUAUUAACAUUUUGUAUUAAUAUGGUAUAUUUGUUUCUAUGAAUGAACCAAUAUUGAUACACAUAUUACUAAUUAACAUGCAUAGUUUAAGCUCACUCUUGAUAUUGUACUCUUCUGUGGGCUUUGACAAAUGCAUAAUGUCAUGCAUCUGCCUCUGCAGUAUCCUACGGGACAGUCUUACUGCCCUAAAAAUCUCCCACAACUGCCCAGUGGUUUCCAUUGUUUUAAAUGAUAUACUUAGACCUGUUUUUAUUAGUUCCUUAGCUCUAGAUUGCAUUUGUUGGCUCCCGAUAAUGACAGAAGGGGAAACUAUUGCAUUACCCUCCCAAUUUUUGUCAGGUACAUUGCCAUUUCAUUUGUUCGUUCAACAAUUUUUUAUGGAGGGCCUGCUGUGAACUAGGCAACAUUCCAGCUGCCGGGGCCACAGGGGCGAAGGAAACAGAUAAGACUCCCUGCUGGCACCGCGCCUGCAUUCUAGGAGAGGAGCUGAGCCAUGAAUAAGAGAACUACGGAGCUGAGGAUGCUAACAUGUGCUGGAGAGAAAGCCACGCGGGGAGCAGGUACGGUGAGAAGUCAUGUCUGAACAAAGGGCUGAGUGAGGUGAAGAACCACAGGGCAGUCCUGGGGAGAAUGUUCUAGACAGUGAGAAGAGAAAGUGCACAGCCCCUGAGGAAGGAGGUUUGUGGGAUUCCAGGGAUGGUGAGGGUUAGGGCUGGAGCCAGGGGAGGGAGGGGCGAGUUCGGGAGGUGAGGUCAGAAAGUGAAGGGCCUAUCUGGGGGUGGGGUGGCUUGCAGGUGGCCUCCCUGACUUUGGCUUUACUCAGAGCGAAAUGAGAGGGCUCUGGUGGAUUUGGAGAAGAGGAGCGACGUCAUCUUCAGUUUUAAAUUUUCUACGGUGUUAAUGUACAUUCUAUUUUGUUAAUAAAAUGAUCAUCAAUGCUUUA